rnacentral:rRNA from 1 species
AUGAAUGAGCAUAGUGAUUGUAUCAUGCCUUCUAUUGGCUGGGUCAAAUUCCCUCGCGUGAGCCAGUCCUGCUGCAUCGCGUGUCGCGUCGCGCGCAGGCUGGGUCUUUGCGUCGCCGGGACGUUGCGGAGGGGUUGGCGGACACAUAUGCACCCGGUUUUUUGCACCCGCAUCUGUGCUAUACCGAUGAUCGGUGGGCCAGUGCUUUCCUGGGCCCGCUCGUCGGCUGCGCUGGCUGCCCAUACCCCGGUGUGGGUUAGAGUUUCUUCUGUGGAUGCGCGUCUCGUCGGGGUAGCCGUGUCGUCGGUUUGUUUGGUGCUGGAGAGAGUUGUGGGCCUGACUCGUGCGUUGUGCUCUGCCCGACUCCUGCGCCAUGCCGCGUCUCGUCUACGACAGCAGGAGCGUGCGCCCUCUCUCAUCCUCGCUCCUCCCUUCCUGGUCAACACAGCCGCUGCGCCACCUCCGUCCUCCGGUCCUCCCUUCCCCCCUGCAGCCCCAGCUCACGAGGAAGCCGCGGGAGGAGCAGCUCAACCAGGCGUCGCCGGCCGGAGAAGGAGGAGAGGCGCGGAUGCCAGCCAGGGAGGCGGAUCGGCUCGCCUCCGCCUCUGCAUCCACCUUGCUGCUCAUGGCAGCAUGUGUGCGGAAGCGGGGACAGGCGACCACGAGCAGAUGUCAUCGGCGGACGCACGGUGCGCGAAGUCCGGUAAGAUGGGCGCGGCCUCCCCGCAGGCGUUUCAAGAUGCCGUGCCCGACGGCUCGGAAUGCGCGUGCCUGGCAUAUAGGAGGUAUGCCUCAGAGCAAGCUGGCGGCAACGUGCACCGCGAGGCCCCAGAGCAGCCCAACCAGUACAUAGCCCCUCCGUACUGGAGGAACCCUGCCGCCGACGCAGCCAGCGACGGCGACGCGUAUGAGAGCUCGGCCUUGGUGGCCCGCGAGCCGUACGGGAGGAUCACGUCCGCGCUCGAGGGCAGCAACAAGCGCAGCACGAGGAGGUGCGCCUGGUCUGCAACGACGCAAGAUGAAGAUACGCUGCCGGACUCCCUCUUUACUUCGGGUUGCAUCUUGCCCGUGAGCUUCUUCUGCCAGCUUGGCCCUUUUCUUGCCAUGUUUUUGGGUGUUCCUUCCUAUAGCCAGCUUGGCCAUUUGCUUUUUAUGGUGAAUGCAGUGGACUAUUCAAGAUCGAGGGCACCAACGGCAUAUGCUGAGGGCGUCCAUCAACAACCCGCCCAAUGUCCGGAUUCACCGAGGAGUACAACCGGAGACACUGUCGGCUGCCUGCAGGUCAAUCCAAUAAUGUCAUGCGUUCCUCAGCAGGCGCCAAGCCCCCCGACACCAAGCCGUCUGUUCUUCUCUCUGCCCGAAGAAGGAUUAUGGUUCUCCACCUCUCUGCUACUCAUAUUAAAAUUCCGUGUAUUUCUAGCUGGAAUUGCACGUAUAUCUUACAAAUUUACAUUGCAACAAAUUAAGAAGGAGAAUAGAAGUAUUUGCAGCCAUCUAACAUAUGGUAUUUUUCAAAAAGCUCAAGAUGUGUGCCGCUCCUCGCCUGGUGUUAGUUUCUGCAUGCUUCUCUCCAUGGUCCUCUUUAUUUAG